ACGGGAGGCAGCAGUGAGGAAUAUUGGUCAAUGGGCGAGAGCCUGAACCAGCCAAGUAGCGUGCAGGAUGACGGCCCUAUGGGUUGUAAACUGCUUUUAUGAGGGAAUAAAGUCAUCUACGUGUAGAUGUUUGCAUGUACCUUAUGAAUAAGGGCCGGCUAAUUCCGUGCCAGCAGCCGCGGUAAUACGGAAGGUCCGGGCGUUAUCCGGAUUUAUUGGGUUUAAAGGGAGCGUAGGCGGCCUUUUAAGCGUGUUGUGAAAUGUCCCGGCUCAACCGCGGCACUGCAGCGCGAACUGGAGGGCUUGAGUGCGCAGGAAGUAGGCGGAAUUCGUCGUGUAGCGGUGAAAUGCUUAGAUAUGACGAAGAACUCCGCUUGCGAAGGCAGCCUUCUGGAGUGCGAUUGACGCUGAGGCUCGAAAGCGCGGGUAUCAAACAGGAUUAGAUACCCUGGUA
rnacentral:rRNA from 1 species